CUUAAGAAUGUGAUUUGGGUUUUUCUUAAAUCACAGGCCAACAGGAAGUUAACAGAUUCCUGGUCUGAGAUUGGAUAUAUCUAAUGAAUGCUAUUAAGGAUGUAUUUUCUAUGUGUCUUGCAAAUUUAAUUUAAAAACUGAUUUUAAAUUUAAAUGGAUACAAUAGGAAGAUAGGCAAAAUUAACUUCAUAUAGUGAAGAGCCAGCUCCCAAACCCCUUCUUUCUCCUCCCUGACCCCUAACCCCAGGAGUUCUUGUCCCUUCCCCUCCUGACAUAUGCUAGGAACUGAUAACACCUAAGCUCCAGGAGUUCCUGUUCACUCCCCCCACCCCAGGAAUGACUCUGUACUCCCCCCCCCCCACCACCACCACAAAAGUGUAUAAAAAGCCUGCAAGCCCUAGACUCGGGGACAGCCAUUUUUAGUGUUGAGCCCAAAAUGCAGUUUGCUUAAAUAAACUCCCUCUUGUGUGUUACAUUGUUGGUUAUUGUUUCAUCUUUCGGAUCAAUAACUGGGUAUUUCAUAUGGGGGCUCAUCUGGGAUCCCAUGAAGGAAACAGAGUAUGACCAACAGAGGGAGGGGACCCCCGUCCCAGGGCAACUCGGGUCGACGGGAUCCAGAACACGUCACAUCUUGGUGGAGGACGAUAUGGUCCGUUUUGCUCCAGUCCUGGUUUCUACACUUCUAUCUUAGGGGCUGACUCUCCCCCUCAUGACCUGUCUGCCAAUCAGUCGCUGGACAUCCUUCAGAUAUCCAAGCAGGUCCCCACCUACCUAGGACCCAGGCAUUCACUGAGGACCGUGAAGACCCUGUGCCUACAGACUUUCCCCUCCCUGUUCAACUUUUAGCUAUUCCCCUGUGCGAUGUGUAUUUGUAUGCAUUUGUAACAUUGUCACUUCUCUAGUUGUUUCUAGGGUAGAAGCACUCCUGGGAGUCACCCAGAUGCCACUGUAACCUCGGCAACUAUUCCAGCCUGAAGCCCUGGACAUUGCCUACAGUAAAUAUCCCUCUCCUGACAAUAGGCAGGGACAGCUCUACCACCAUUCUCAGCUCUGAAGAAGCUACAGAAUAUUGAGACCAUUGCCCCCUUUCCCUUAGAUAUUUGGAGAAGGGGGAGAUGACAUAGGCAUUAUACCCCCAGAAACUAGGGCAGACUAUUGUUAGGAAAAUUCUACUCCCUUGCAUCCUCAUGACUCCUAGCCUAGGGGCUAGUUCCAUGCAUUCUUAAUCGCCUAGUAGCCUUCAUCAAGGAUUGCAUUAAUUCUGUCCAGCUAUGAACCAGCAAUAUUAAAUUCUGACUCCUACUGAAUCCCCUUAUGAGGAUACAGUCAUAUGAGGAAGAUUCCUCAUGUACAGUAGAAGUGGGGAAUGAAGAGCCAGCUCCCAAACCCCUUCUUUCUUCUCCCUGACCUCUAAUCCCAGGAGUCCCUGUCCCUCCCCUUCCUGACAUAUGCAAGGAGUCAUAAUGACCCUAGCCUCAGGAGUUCUUGUCCCUCCCCCCUCCUGACAUAUGCCAGGAACUGAUAACACCUAAGCUCCAGGAGGUUCCUGUUCACUCCCCCCACCCCAGGAAUGCCUCUGUGCUCCCCUACCACAAAAAUGUAUAUAAAGCCUGCAAGCCCCAGACUUGGGGACAGCCAUGUUUAAUGCUGAGCCCAAACUGCAGUUUGCUUAAAUAAACUCCCUCUUGUGUGUUA